AGAGUUUGAUCCUGGCUCAGAUUGAACGCUGGCGGCAUGCCUUACACAUGCAAGUCGAACGGCAGCGCGGGAGCAAUCCUGGCGGCGAGUGGCGAACGGGUGAGUAAGACAUCGGAACGUGCCCGAUCGUGGGGGAUAACGCAGCGAAAGCUGUGCUAAUACCGCAUGAGAUCCAUGGAUGAAAGCAGGGGACCGCAAGGCCUUGCGCGAUUGGAGCGGCCGAUGGCAGAUUUGGUAGUUGGUGGGGUAAAGGCCUACCAAGCCUGCGAUCUGUAGCUGGUCUGAGAGGACGACCAGCCACACUGGGACUGAGACACGGCCCAGACUCCUACGGGAGGCAGCAGUGGGGAAUUUUGGACAAUGGGCGCAAGCCUGAUCCAGCAAUGCCGCGUGCAGGAUGAAGGCCUUCGGGUUGUAAACUGCUUUUGUACGGAACGAAAAGGUUCUGGUUAAUACCUGGGGCCGAUGACGGUACCGUAAGAAUAAGCACCGGCUAACUACGUGCCAGCAGCCGCGGUAAUACGUAGGGUGCGAGCGUUAAUCGGAAUUACUGGGCGUAAAGCGUGCGCAGGCGGUGAUGUAAGACAGUUGUGAAAUCCCCGGGCUCAACCUGGGAAUUGCAUCUGUGACUGCAUUGCUGGAGUGCGGCAGAGGGGGAUGGAAUUCCGCGUGUAGCAGUGAAAUGCGUAGAUAUGCGGAGGAACACCGAUGGCGAAGGCAAUCCCCUGGGCCUGCACUGACGCUCAUGCACGAAAGCGUGGGGAGCAAACAGGAUUAGAUACCCUGGUAGUCCACGCCCUAAACGAUGUCAACUGGUUGUUGGGGAUUUAUUUCUUCAGUAACGAAGCUAACGCGUGAAGUUGACCGCCUGGGGAGUACGGCCGCAAGGUUAAAACUCAAAGGAGUUGACGGGGACCCGCACAAGCGGUGGAUGAUGUGGAUUAAUUCGAUGCAACGCGAAAAACCUUACCUACCCUUGACAUGUCUGGAAUCCUUUAGAGAUAGAGGAGUGCUCGCAAGAGAACCGGAACACAGGUGCUGCAUGGCUGUCGUCAGCUCGUGUCGUGAGAUGUUGGGUUAAGUCCCGCAACGAGCGCAACCCUUGUCAUUAGUUGCUACGAAAGGGCACUCUAAUGAGACUGCCGGUGACAAACCGGAGGAAGGUGGGGAUGACGUCAAGUCCUCAUGGCCCUUAUGGGUAGGGCUUCACACGUCAUACAAUGGUCGGGACAGAGGGUUGCCAAGCCGCGAGGCGGAGCCAAUCUCAGAAACCCGAUCGUAGUCCGGAUCGCAGUCUGCAACUCGACUGCGUGAAGUCGGAAUCGCUAGUAAUCGCGGAUCAGAAUGUCGCGGUGAAUACGUUCCCGGGUCUUGUACACACCGCCCGUCACACCAUGGGAGUGGGUUUCACCAGAAGUAGGUAGCCUAACCGUAAGGAGGGCGCUUACCACGGUGGGAUUCAUGACUGGGGUGAAGUCGUAACAAGGUA
rnacentral:rRNA from 1 species